AGAGUUUGAUCAUGGCUCAGGACUAACGCUGACGGUGUGCAUAAUACAUGCAAGUCGAACGUGCAAUGAAAGAGUAGCAAUACUUUUUCAAAGCAAGUGGCGAACGGGUGCGUAACGCGUGGGUAAUCUGCCUUGAAGAUUGGGACAACCUUUCGAAAGGAAGGCUAAUACCAAAUAUGCUGUAUUUUUCGCAUGUUUAAUAUAGUAAAGAUAGCCGCAAGGCCUUCGCUUUAAGAUGAGCCCGCGUCCUAUUAGCUUGUUGGUGGGGUAAUGGCUCACCAAGGCUAUGAUGGGUAGCCGGUCUGAGAGGAUGGUCGGCCACACUGGGACUGAGAUACGGCCCAGACUCCUACGGGAGGCAGCAGUAGGGAAUAUUGCGCAAUGGACGAAAGUCUGACGCAGCGACACCGUGUGAAGGAUGAAAAUCUUCGGAUUGUAAACUUCUGUCAAUUGGAGACGAAGGUAGUAGGGUUAAUAGCCCGAAUACUGACGGUACCCAAUAAGGAAGUCUCGGCUUACUCCGUGCCAGCAGCCGCGGUAAGACGGGGGAGGCAAGCGUUGUCCGGAAUUAUUGGGCGUAAAGAGCGCGUAGGUUGUUUAUCAAGUCAUUUGUGAAAACUUUAGGCUUAACUUAAAGAUUGCAAGUGAUACUGGUAAACUUGAGUACAGUAGAGGAAAGCGGAAUUCCUGGUGUAGCGGUGAAAUGCGCAGAUAUCAGGAAGAACACCAGUGGCGAAGGCGGCUUUCUGGGCUGUUACUGACACUGAGGCGCGAAAGCUAGGGGAGCGAACAGGAUUAGAUACCCUAGUAGUCC
rnacentral:rRNA from 1 species